UCGCCUGUUUAUCAAAAACAUCGCCUCUUGCAAUACACUAAGUAUAAGAGGUCCAGCCUGCCCAGUGACUACGGGUUCAACGGCCGCGGUAUUCUGACCGUGCAAAGGUAGCGCAAUCACUUGUCUCUUAAAUAGAGACCUGUAUGAAUGGCUAGACGAGGGCUUAACUGUCUCCCCCUUCCAGUCAGUGAAAUUGAUCUAUCCGUGCAGAAGCGGGUAUAAAUUUACAAGACGAGAAGACCCUUUGGAGCUUAAGGUACAAAAUUCAACCACGUCAAACAACUCCAUAAGAAGCAAAAACUUAGUGGCACAUGGACCUUUACCUUCGGUUGGGGCGACCAUGGAGGAAAAACGAGCCUCCCAGUGGACCGGGCCAUAACCCCUAAAGCCAAGAGAGACAUCUUUAGGCCGCAGAAUAUCUGACCAACAAUGAUCCGGCCAAUAAAGCCGAUCAACGAACCAAGUUACCCUAGGGAUAACAGCGCAAUCCUCUCCCAGAGUCCAUAUCUACGAGGGGGUUUACGACCUCGAUGUUGGAUCAGGACAUCCUAAUGGUGCAGCCGCUAUUAAGGGUUCGUUUGUUCAACGAUUAAAGUCCUACGUGAUCUGAGUUCAGACCGG
rnacentral:rRNA from 1 species